CGUAGGGUGCGAGCGUUAAUCGGAAUUACUGGGCGUAAAGCGUGCGCAGGCGGCGCCGCAAGUCAGGCGUGAAAUCCCCGAGCUUAACUUGGGAAUGGCGCUUGAAACUACGGUGCUGGAGUGUGGCAGAGGGAGGUGGAAUUCCACGUGUAGCGGUGAAAUGCGUAGAGAUGUGGAGGAACACCGAUGGCGAAGGCAGCCUCCUGGGCCAACACUGACGCUCAUGCACGAAAGCGUGGGGAGCAAACAGGAUUAGAUACCCUGGUAGUCCACGCCCUAAACGAUGAUGACUAGUUGUUGGGGGAGUUAAAUCCCUUAGUAACGCAGCUAACGCGUGAAGUCAUCCGCCUGGGGAGUACGGUCGCAAGAUUA
rnacentral:rRNA from 1 species